UGCCAUAACUGAUUCUUUAGUGUGAUGGUUGUACCAAGGUAAUGUACAGUGUUAACAAUAGGGGGAACUGGGUACAGGAUAUAUGGAAACCUAUGUCCCACCAGAGCAACUUCAAAUUUUUCUGCAAAUCUCAAAUUUGCCCAAAAUAAAAGUUUAUUUGAAUAAAAGCUUGAGCUCUAAUUGAGGUUUUAAAAAAAUGUAUCCUUUUAAAAAUGCAUUCAAUGAACACACAUAUAGAACUUCACCUGCUCAAGGCACUAUUCUAAGUGCAGCACAAAUGUUAACUCCUCAUUGUGGUCUUGUUAUCCCAUGUAACCCCUCUGCUGCUGUCUGGCUCAGCGGGACAUUCUCCUCCACUUACUAUCCUACCUCUCAGCUCAUGUUUGUAGCCUGUGGUCGGCACCAUAUCAACCAAGGUUGGUCUCAGCCCCUGCUCUGAUUGCCAUCAAAAAAAGUGUCGUGCCCUCCACACAGCCCCCAAAAGACAAACAAAGGCCAUUCACAAAAGACCUCUGUGUGUAUCAGAUGUCUCUGCUGUUUCAGAAGCAGCGGUUGGGCAGUCUCCACCAGACAGAGAGCCCGGCCUCUGACCACUCUCCCCCUCUCCCCUCCCCUCCCGCCCUGGUCUCUCGGUUUAGUUCAUGCUGAGUGAAGAGACGUGGCCUGGGUCUGGAGUUCCUCAACCGGCAAAAUACGACGUGAACAGCUCCUGCACCCAAAAAGGCCCCGAGUUAACUCUGCUGCAUAGGCGAGGCAGGCACCGCGCCGCCAGUCGGGGACGCAGAGCGAGCGCGUCCUCUGGGAUUUGAAGGCCGCCCCCGUCAAAGUUGGCAUUCGGGGGCCUGCGUGUUCCGGAGCUACGGAGCGGCAACUGAGGCAGGAGCUCAGGACUGGGGGGAGAAAGAGAGACCCUGGAAGCGAUUAACGUGCCCCUUGCUUUACAGAUGUGGCAGAUAAGACACGAGAGGGAGCUCUGGUCCCCGAGGGGCUGUCCCGGGAGGGAGCGAGGUGGGGAGGGGGAGCAGGCCCUGCCCCGAGCACCCCGCGGACUGAGCGUCUGGCGUGCACGGCGGAGGGGUUACCGCGGGGAGGUGACACCCCAGGGUGGUGAGGGCACGCAGAUGAGGCUGGCCUGAGGGGUGCCUGCUUUGGGGAAAGCAGUCUGUGGAGGGAGGGAAGGAGGGCGAUCGCGGCCCCACGCGGGUUGUGCUGCUGAGGCUCCGCGCCGCAGGAAAGGCACCCUAGCCGGAUUCGCCCUCGGACGCCCCAGCUGGGCACACUCACGCGGCUCUCCCGCGGCUUCUCGGGAAUUCGCCUCCAGGGCAAUCAGCUCUUCGCACAAACGUUCAAACCAAGGCAGAGUGCGGGAAGGAAAGGACAGCUGAUACCCAGGAGCCUCCAGAAAGGAGAGGGCUGUGCCAUGGCCAGGCACCCCUGCACCCCUCCCCCAACACCCCAGGCAUGGUCAUCGGGCCCUUGGAGCUUUGCCAGGGCCAGGACUCUGCUUCGGCGUGCAGGCAGGACCUGGGAACCUGGGUCUCUGGCAUCUUGUUCUGAACGUGGGGAUUCUUCCGGAGGGCAGAGCAGACGUGCCCAUGCCUCUUCUCCACCAAACCCAGGAGCUGGGAGCGAACAGCAGGGCCGGCAUCCAUCCCAGGCACACAGGGGCACACAUCAGCUCUGGCUGCCCAUCCCUCUCUGAGCAUUGCAGAAAGGCGGGUGCCGCAGGGCUCCCAGCUCACCCCAAGUUCCUCUUAGCAAUAGAAAACCUGAAUUCCCCUCUUCUGAGUAUUUUGAAGGCAACAGGAUG
rnacentral:lncRNA from 10 species